CCAAGGCAAGAUCAUGGCCAGGGAGCCGUCUCUCUGUUUUCAGGCAGGAGGACAGUGGUUGCAGAGAGAGAAAAGCGUUAGAAACCAGCCCUGUCUUUUCCCAGCAGCAGCAGCAGCAGCAGCCAUCUUUGAUUGGUCCUCCUUGUCUUUUUCUCAGGCCCCGCUUGGCAGUUGAAGGCAAUCGCUGAGCAAGGAGAAAGCAUGGCCACCAGGAGAGCUGGAAAGGAACGUCAAACAACCAGACAAGCUUUAUGUGCUUUUUGUAUGUGAUUCCUUGCCCCCAGAAGCCCAUGUGUGUGUUUUUCCUUCCAACAUUCAUGAAACAUGUGUCUUUGUGAGAUAUAUAUAAAAAUCCCCUGUUGAAAGCCCCUCUUUGUGUUUCUUCCCCAAGCCCUUGUUUGUGCCUGAGUGAGAGAUUUCGAACUCUUCACAAAUGAUUUGAAAUGAUGGGGCUCUUCCUUUGUUUCUUUUCAAGCAGGCUCCCUCGGGACCAAAGCCUCUAAAUUGUUUAUGGCCUGGUGGCUCAGGACUACUAUAGCCUUGGCUUAUGAGACAUUGAAUCUACCUGUGCCCAGAGGUAUCACGGCGCAUUUGACGAGAAGUGCGGCUGCAUCGGCAGCUUUCUCAGCAAGAGCUCCCUUGGAGGAGAUUUGUAAAGCGGCCACAUGGAGUUCUAUUUCUCCUUUUGUGAGACACUAUAAGAUUUUUUCCUUCAUACACACACACACACACACACACACACACACACACACACACACACACACACACCACUUUUAAACAAAAAAAGUUCCCAAAGCCAAAAGUCCCCCCGCCCCAAGAUAUGAGAAAAAUGGCUCUCUGCUCCCAUAUGGAUUUCUUCAUAAGAAUGAGCAGCUUAGAAACUUUUGUUCUAUAAUAGCGCAUGCAUGAAUCAUAGAUAGAGGGGAGGGGAGCAGCUGUGGUUGUAAUGAAUUUCUGGAUGUUUUUAAAUGCAUCACUUAAGCCUUAUUAAGUGCUUAAUUAUGUCCAAUGCUGCAAUCGUCUAUUAAGAAAAAAAUCAUCUACCAAAUUUAUCUUUUUAUAUCAAAUUAUUUAUUAAAGGCAAAAGUGCACUUUGGGACACUGGCAAGACAGAGGCGGGAGUGACAUUUUAUUGCAUUUAGUAGACAUUGAUUCAGAAAAGUACAAUUUCUGCUGACUUUCUGACUACUUCAUAAUCAAGGCCCCAGGCUGCAAAUUGUUUUUAAAAGGCCAUAAAACCUGCCCCCCCACAACUUUUGCAACACUCCCCCCCCCAGACAUUUAGGGAUCUCUGGUUGCUUCCACUUCUUGGCUUCAAGUGUUGUUGUGGUGGUGAUGAUGAUGAUGAUGAUGAUGAUGAUGAUGAUGGAUUGAUUUCCUGUAUAUAACAGACUCGGACUUGGCUGGCGAAUGGCUCUUUUAUUCCACCAGGGUCCAGACAACAAUCUUUAUCCUACCUUUGGCCUUGAUCCAGCAAAAAAGGUGUAUUCAGAAGAACAGAAGAUCCAAAGUACUUUUGCGUUUCCGUAAGCUGAAUGAGGUUUCCCAGAAGAGGCCAGGUUUGCAGCUGCCCCUAUUCCAUUUGCAGCAGCACCACCUCCAGCCUCCAGCCCUGCCCAGCACUGUGGCCUCCCACAAGGGCAGCAACAACAGUGAUGUGCUGAGAGGGCAGCCAAGGCCCUGAGGUGGUGCCAGAAGGCAAAGUGCCAAACACUGCCUUGCCCCACACCCCUGGUUGGGGCAGCCCCCUUUCCAGAGGGACCUUUGCAGGCUUUGGAAGAGACAGACCCAAACCAUCCUAAUCUGACCUGUGGACCUAACCCAAGAGCAGUGCUCUUUCAGCAGGUUAGCCGAGAAAGAGUCUUGAGGCACUUCCGCAAGCUGGCUGAGGAGACACAAUAGCAAGGAGGUUGAGCCACAUUUCCCAGACCCAGAAGAACAGCAGCCACACCAGCACAGGCCCUUCCUCCACUGGCAGCUCAGCACCCAGGACGACCUGAACAACAGAACAUACUUGGUGAACUUCAGCCAGAAGUCAGCCAGAACUUCAGUCUUUAGUGCACAAAUGCCAUCUCCUGAAGUUCUUCGCUCAACUACCAUUCCCAAGAUUCUUUGGAUUGCACCAUGAAAGCUCCAGCACUUUCCAACUGAUACAAGUUGGUCGUGCAGAUGUGCCCCCAGUCCUGAUGGAAGGUGGUGGAUUCCCGGCUGUGAAAACAGCAGUCCUGAGAGAACGUUAAGGAUUGCUGUGAUGCAGCUGAAACUUCAGAAGACCUUGCAAAAUACCCCCCACAGGGAUGGUGCUGUGGGCUCACCAGCUUGCCUGAAAGAAUCUUGAUCGUGCGGGCGGUGGCCGCCAUACAGAAACAAGCCUCUGCUUCACAGGAUCCCAAGCUAGCCAAGACCUCGGACACGGCUGAUGAAGAUGAGAAGGGUCCAGACAGCAAACGUUGUUAUCCUACCUGUGGCCCUGAUCCAACCUCCAAGGGGAUUCAGGAGAAUGCAAGGUUUAACUUCUUCCAUCUGUUUAAAUCUUCUGUUAUUUGGUGUCAAUCCCAUUUCAAUUUCUACCUUAAGUCAAAGGAGCCAUAGGAACGACCACCAUACAGAUUGAGAGAGGUGAGGCAGUUGGAGGGAUCAGGUGGACAUCAGGCUGAAAACAGAGGGAGCUGCUGAGCAUCUUUUGCCAUUCACUCUGAUCCAAACCCUGUUGGCUCUCUAAGCCAGGCCCCAGAAGGCUCUUGGCACUCUUGAAAGUGGGGAGGGGGUGGGCGCCCCACCCUCUUUCUUUUACGAGAUCCAGAGCACAGCAGGAGCCUCCCUCACACCUUUCUCCCUGCUCUUGAAUCCAGCAGAGGCCAAGACUGCCGGCCCAUCCUAGCCUAGUAUCAGCAGCAGCCCCACCCAUCACUGUGGCCAAGAGCACCCAAGAUGUGGUAAGCCCUCUUGAGACGAGGGUGGAAGAAGCGCCCCAUGUUCCAAGCAAACGUGGCCGGCCACGUGUCCCACCCGUGCCAGGAAAGCCCAAAGCUCAGUGGUCAACUGUGUGCCUUCCCUGCAGCAGGUCCCAGGUUUGAGUUCUGUCCAGUCUGAGUCCAGAAGAGCAGCAGCAGCACCACCACCACCACCACCAGAACAGGACCAGCCUCCACUGGAAACUCCAGCCCUGCCCACCACCGAGGCUGACCCGACCUGACAAUCAUUCAACAACGAUGAAUUACAUGUGUAAACCUGGCUCUGACUUGGCUGGCAAAUGGCUCUUUUGGUCCACCAGGAGACAGACGCAAACCAUCCCAAUCUGACCUGUGGACCUAACCCAAGAGCAGUGCUCUUUCAGCAGGAAGGCUGAGAAAGAGUGUUGAGGCGCUUCUGCAAGCUGGCUGAGGUGAGGAAAUCAGAAGCACAUGGACAGCACAGUGAGAACCAAGAGCAAUCGGGCCUGCUUUUCCCUGCGCUCAGCCCCUUUGCUGAAUUGUAUGGCUUGGCUAUGGCAGAACUCAGGGGGUCUUGGCCUGGGUGCCAUUGGAACUGGGCAUGGGCAGGAGGAGAUUGGGCCCCCCCUCCGUACUCUCCCAUUCCCAGAGCAAAAGCACCACCUCCACCCUGUGGGAAGCACUGCCCCUCCAGCACGGGUGAGCCUACACUGGGUAGAGUACUAGCAACUUCUCCUUUUCCAAGCCAACGUGGCCAUCCUCAUGUUCCACCAUGGCCUGGGAAGCUCACAGCUCCCUGGUAGAUCCCAGUAGACCCUCUUCACACCUUUCUUCCUGCCCUUGAAUCCAUCCAGGAGAAAAAAACAGAGAGGAGGUUGACCCCAAUUUCCCCGAUGCGGAACAGCAGCUGCCACUGAGCCAGCACUGACCCAGCCUCCAUAGGCAACUCCAGCACCAUCUGUUCCUGUGGCCGACCCGCCCCGAACAUACUUUGUGGUACGCAUGGCCCCUCCAGCCCCGUUUAGCCUAGAGUGAAAGUGGCGCCCCAUGUUUCAAGCAAACACAGAUGGCCAUGGGUCCCACCCAUGCCAGGAAUCCCAUCGCUCAGUGGUAGACUGUGUGCCUUCUCUGCAGCAGGUCCUAGCUUACCUCCCGGGAAAAGGGCAGAAUCUUGGGGACCCAUGAGGGCUUAUGUGUCAUUUGGAAGGCAGGUCAGAUGGGGGGCAGCUCCCAAUCCAAAGAUGAGGGCAGUGGCAUCUUGUCAGGCCAUUAAGGAGGAUCUUGACCCACGCCCACAUUUCCCCUUAGCACAGCCCUGGGACAUAUGGGGCACAGCAGUUUGGUUUGGUUUGGUUCUGGGUUAAUAAACACAGGCCUGAGUUCAUUGCUCAUGUGCUUCAUAGUAAUGACAUCUUUGUCGUUGUAAAAGAGAAACUGCUUGUGUAAAACAAAACAAAAUAAAACCUGGAAUAGAGUACCAAGGUUGCCCAAAUGCCAUUGAUAAUGGGGAGAAAAGCCUGGGAAACGGCCAUGCACCCUAAGAGAGGGGAAAUGAAGGGGGAAAUAGCCAUAGCAAUGACCAUGAGUAGCAAGAACACAUCCUAUAUCGGGGGCAGGGGAGGCUGUUACAGUGCCUCUCCAGUUCUUCCUAAGGAGAACUUUCAAGGCUUCAGCCAACCUGCUCUUCUCAAUCAAUGGAGCUCUGAUCCUCCAGGUACUGACCAGGCUUUGGACUUUCCAGGCACGGAAACAAGAGAAGCGGCCACACGGAAGAGCCUUCCGUGGGGUGCCCAGCCCUGCUGCCAAAGCCAGAUGCUGGCCUGUAAGCUGAAUGGAACCCUUACAUUCCCUGUGGGGAGGAGGGAAGACCCGAGAGGAGGAUUAGGUAUCAGAUAGUAGAAGCCUGAAGGUGCCUUUCCAUGGGAUAUGUCCCGGCUGGUUCAGCCUGAAGAUGGGGUGUAGUGGGGGGUCUCCAUGCCUGGGUCCAGCAUGAAGCAGCUCAGUCAACCUGGUGCUGACCCAGGAAAGGCUAGAGCCAAACGGAGGGGUUGUAGUGCCAACAGGUGCUCUCCCCACCGCCUUGAUCUCAGGCUGGUCCAAAGCUGGUGCCUGAGCAGAGCUCUCCCUCCUCCUGAAUAAGACCCCUGGGAUGAAGACCCCCAUAACCCAGAGCUGGAGCUCGGGUCUGGCACGGUGUCGCCUCUGCUCCAGGAGGGGUUCCUCCUCGGGCUGCAACAGGAGCCUGGCUGGGUCCUGCAGGGGGGCCCUGGAUCCUCAGAGGGCCACGUUCCUGCCUCUGUAGGAGAGGCACUGACUUCUGCCUGCUCAGGCUCUGCUGGAUCUGGGGGUUGGGGGUUGGUUAGUGCUGGGGUCCUCCCCCCAUCCUUGACGGUUACCUCAUGGUCCGAGUCCCAAGCGGGUGCUGACACUCUCCCAGUCUUGCUGCUGUUCUGCUCGAGGAUGGAAAUGAGGGCCGCCCCACCCUCUGUCAUUUCCUGUAGCCCAGAGUGGAGCAGGAACCGCCCUCACACCUUCCUUCCUGCUUCUGACACAGGAGAGGACAGGUCUGCCAACUCCAGCCCACACCACCACCAGCACCACCUCUGCCACAGCUCCUGCCUCCCCCUGGCAACUCCACGGGAGAGUUGCCCACCCAGCAGCGCCUAUGCUCUCCUCCUGCCUUU